rnacentral:rRNA from 1 species
UACGGGGGGUGCAAGCGUUAUCCGGAUUCACUGGGUUUAAAGGGUGCGUAGGCGGACAGGUAAGUCAGUGGUGAAAUCUCCGAGCUUAACUCGGAAACUGCCUUUGAUACUCUCUGUCUUGAAUAUGGUGGAGGUAAGCGGAAUAUGUCAUGUAGCGGUGAAAUGCUUAGAGAUGACAUAGAACACCUAUUGCGAAGGCAGCUUACUACGCCUAUAUUGACGCUGAGGCACGAAAGCGUGGGGAUCAAACAGG